rnacentral:lncRNA from 1 species
AGGCGCUCCGGCCCCCGCGGCCCCGCUGAGGUGCUCGGGGAGCGGACGGUGGGUGAGCGGACCCGGGGCCGCGGUGGGGCUCCUUUUCCGGCUGGUUUCUUUUCGCCCGUUGAGGCUGAUAUCUGGGACACCUCUCACCAGACCAGGUUGCUCAAAGCGCCGUCCAGCCUGGCCUGGAACUCCUCCAGGGAUGGGGCGCCCACAGCUUCUCUGGGCAACCUGUUCCCGUGCCUCACCACCCUCACAGUGAAAAAUUUCUUCCUGAUUAUCAAAUAUAAGUCUCCCCUCUUCCAGUUUGAAGCCAUUACCCCCCAUUCUAUCGCUACGUGCCCUCCCCAGCUUUCUUGUAGGCCCUCUUGGGACACAGGUAGCACUGCGAGGCCUGUGUUGACACCAUCGUCAUCGCCAGUUGAUUUCACCUGAUUUUCUGAGGGGGUUUCUGUCACCCACCACAGAACCACAGCCGUGACGGGAUGGGGGCAGCAGAAGGAGCCCGGGGACACCCGUCACUUCAACCAAGCUCCCACCAUUUCCCUCAGCCAGGGCUCUACAGCAAAUUCCCAGAAACACCAUUUCACCAAUUAGUGUUGGCUGGGCUUUUGGAUGCAGCUCAUCAGAGCCAGAUCACCGAAGCCAUCCCCAAGGGUAUGGACUCAAAGACUCGAGGAACUCGCUCUGUUUCCAGGCUUGACCAAGAUGCCUCCUCUGCUCUUGCCUGAAGAAACGCUACAUAGGUAAAGCUGGUCAAGGAUGAUGUAGCAUCCAUUAGAAGCAUAGCUUUAAUGGAUGACUGGAUUUGUACGUUAAAGGGGUGUAAGAAGAGAGGAUUUGUAACUGUGUGCUUAGGAUAUAUAGCCCCUACAAUGGGAAACCCUCUGCAGUGGAAAACGUGCACCACGGUUUUGUAGAACAAAAGCACACAAAAAAUUUCAAGGCAGCUCCCACCACCUCUGGCGUCACCCCACUCCCACACACAAAUAACUGCACAUUGUUUAGCCAACAGGAUCUGGUCCUUCCGAUCUGUUACAAACUGGCAGAGCCAGAAAUCCACAAACAAACUUAACACCUUACACCAAAGCCCCACUCACUAACAACCAGGUCACACAGUAUAUGUAGCUACAGCAACACAUCCAGAAAUGCCCUGUCAGCUUCUUGUUUUGAUGACUUUCUGUACAUAGCCUUCCACAUGGUCCUGCUUCCCCUAACUUUCUCCAUUUGGACCAACUACUACAGCAACGCUUCUAAAAUGCCAUAUACUUAGCAAUCUGCCUGUGCUUUCACCCCUUUCUCCUACCAUCCUAGAAGAAAAAAACCAAAACCCUAUAAUAAUUGGUAAACUUAGAGUUUCUUAGACCUAUAUGGCUCACCUCGGUAAUGCAGUGAUCUCAGUACAGGAAAAUGAGAAUCCUUGCAGGCUUUUCACUCUUCACUAUAUUCAGUUCCAGAGGAGGCCUUAAUACAAAUUCAUUCUUCCCUGUAAAAUGAUACUUCAAGAUUUUAUCUACUCUUUUAAGUAGCUUUUUUAGGUCAUGUGUUUCACUUCCCCAUCAGGAUCCCACCUAAGAUAGACUUUCCAGGCAUGUUACUGGAUACCAGGACAAAAGAGGUAGUAUCCGUGUCUUCAUUCAGAGUAUGGGACAAAGGCACAUAACCAGGCUGGAGAGGAGGACAAGUCAACUUCACUCUCACUUUGCUGGGACUCUAGUUUUCUUCAAGAAUAUUCUUUCCAUGCCUACCGGAUGUAGACAAGUCUAAAGGGUGAAAAACGAUGAAUGAGAAUAAAUGUCUCCCAUCCAAAACCUCUCUACA